rnacentral:rRNA from 1 species
AAACCAACCGGGAUUGCCUUAGUAACGGCGAGUGAAGCGGCAAAAGCUCAAAUUUGAAAUCUGGUACCUUCGGUGCCCGAGUUGUAAUUUGGAGAGGGCAACUUUGGGGCCGUUCCUUGUCUAUGUUCCUUGGAACAGGACGUCAUAGAGGGUGAGAAUCCCGUGUGGCGAGGAGUGCGGUUCUUUGUAAAGUGCCUUCGAAGAGUCGAGUUGUUUGGGAAUGCAGCUCUAAGUGGGUGGUAAAUUCCAUCUAAAGCUAAAUAUUGGCGAGAGACCGAUAGCGAACAAGUACAGUGAUGGAAAGAUGAAAAGAACUUUGAAAAGAGAGUGAAAAAGUACGUGAAAUUGUUGAAAGGGAAGGGCAUUUGAUCAGACAUGGUGUUUUGUGCCCUCUGCUCCUUGUGGGUAGGGGAAUCUCGCAUUUCACUGGGCCAGCAUCAGUUUUGGUGGCAGGAUAAAUCCAUAGGAAUGUAGCUUGCCUCGGUAAGUAUUACAGCCUGUGGGAAUACUGCCAGCUGGGACUGAGGACUGCGACGUAAGUCAAGGAUGCUGGCAUAAUGGUUAUAUGCCGCCCGUCUUGAAACACGGACC